rnacentral:rRNA from 1 species
GAUGAACGCUAGCGGGAGGCUUAAUACAUGCAAGUCGAGGGAGAAAUUAAUCUUCGGAAUAAUGGAAACCGGCGAACGGGUGAGUAACGCGUACACUACCUACCUUAUACUGGGGAAUAGCCUUUGGAAACGAAGAGUAAUACCCCAUAGUCCCGCAAGGGUAAAGCUCCGGCGGUAUGAGAUGGGUGUGCGUCUGAUUAGCUAGUUGGUGAGGUAAUGGCUCACAAAGGCGACGAUCAGUAGGGGGCGUGAGAGCGUGAUCCCCCACACGGGUACUGAGACACGGACCCG